rnacentral:rRNA from 1 species
AAAGGGUGCGUAGGCGGCCUGUUAAGUCAGAGGUGAAAGACGGUAGCUCAACUAUCGCAGUGCCUUUGAUACUGAUGGGCUUGAAUGGACUAGAGGUAGGCGGAAUGAGACAAGUAGCGGUGAAAUGCAUAGAUAUGUCUCAGAACACCGAUUGCGAAGGCAGCUUACUAUGGUUUUAUUGACGCUGAGGCACGAAAGCGUGGGGAUCAAACAGGAUUAGAUACCCCUGU